CUGCAAAACAAUGCAAAACAAGCAUAAUAUCUCUAAAAUCAACUUUUGACUCUCAAUAGACUCAACUAAGUGUUUUACUUGAUUUAAAGUUCAUUCUAAGUCAUAAAGGGUGUGUUUUACUAUCAAAUUUAAGUAUGAAAAUAACGGUUUUUAGAUCGUUAUCAAACGACGGCAACAUAAACCGCAACACGAACCUGUGUUUAUUUCAUAUCUUUAACCAACAUGGACCAAGCUCUCUCUUCUUCUUCCUCCC
rnacentral:lncRNA from 1 species